ensembl:lncRNA
GUAAUUGCUUACGGCCAUACCACACUGAGCACGCCCGAUCUCGUCCGAUCUCGGAAGCUAAGCAGUGUCGGGCCUGGUUAGUACUUGGAUGGGAGACCGCCUGGGAAUACCAGGUGCUGUAAGCUUUUCUGUCUCUGCCUCCCAGCGCGCCCCUGCUGGCCGCAGCAGUCAGCACAAUUCAGCCAGUUAAACUUGGAACACUCUUUUGUGUUUUUUUUUUUUCUUUCUUUCUUUCUGCCUGUCUGUUAGUCUGUCUGUCUGUCUGUCUGUCUGUCUGUCUGUCUGUCUGUCUGCAAGUCCCGAGCCACGUGAGCUUCAUGAGGCCGACUUUGUCAGGCAGUAAUUGCUUACGGCCAUACCACACUGAGCACGCCCGAUCUCGUCCGAUCUCGGAAGCUAAGCAGUGUCGGGCCUGGUUAGUACUUGGAUGGGAGACCGCCUGGGAAUACCAGGUGCUGUAAGCUUUUCUGUCUCUGCCUCCCAGCGCGCCCCUGCUGGCCGCAGCAGUCAGCACAAUUCAGCCAGUUAAACUUGGAACACUCUUUUGUGUUUUUUUUUUCUUUCUUUUUCUUUCUUUCUGCCUGUC